rnacentral:rRNA from 1 species
GAUGAUGCCCAGCUUGCUGGGUGGAUUAGUGGCGAACGGGUGAGUAACACGUGAGUAACCUGCCCCUGACUCUGGGAUAAGCGUUGGAAACGACGUCUAAUACUGGAUAUGACUGCCGGCCGCAUGGUCUGGUGGUGGAAAGAUUUUUUGGUUGGGGAUGGACUCGCGGCCUAUCAGCUUGUUGGUGAGGUAAUGGCUCACCAAGGCGACGACGGGUAGCCGGCCUGAGAGGGUGACCGGCCACACUGGGACUGAGACACGGCCCAGACUCCUACGGGAGGCAGCAGUGGGGAAUAUUGCACAAUGGGCGAAAGCCUGAUGCAGCAACGCCGCGUGAGGGAUGACGGCCUUCGGGUUGUAAACCUCUUUUAGUAGGGAAGAAGCGAAAGUGACGGUACCUGCAGAAAAAGCACCGGCUAACUACGUGCCAGCAGCCGCGGUAAUACGUAGGGUGCAAGCGUUGUCCGGAAUUAUUGGGCGUAAAGAGCUCGUAGGCGGUUUGUCGCGUCUGCUGUGAAAUCCCGAGGCUCAACCUCGGGCUUGCAGUGGGUACGGGCAGACUAGAGUGCCGGUAGGGGAGAUUUGGAAAUUCCUGGUGUAGCGGUUGGAAAUGCGCAGAUAUCAGGGAGGAAACACCGAUGGCGAAGGCAGAUCUCUGGGCCGUAACUGACGCUGAGGAGCGAAAGCGUGGGGAGCGAACAGGAUUAGAUACCCUGGUAGUCCACGCCGUAAACGUUGGGCGCUAGAUGUAGGGACCUUUCCACGGUUUCUGUGUCGUAAGCUAACGCAUUAAGCGCCCCGCCUUGGGGAGUACGGCCGCAAGGCUAAAACUCAAAGGAAUUGACGGGGGCCCGCACAAGCGGCGGAGCAUGCGGAUUAAUUCGAUGCAACGCGAAGAACCUUACCAAGGCUUGACAUACACCGGAAACGGCCAGAGAUGGUCGCCCCCUUGUGGUCGGUGUACAGGUGGUGCAUGGUUGUCGUCAGCUCGUGUCGUGAGAUGUUGGGUUAAGUCCCGCAACGAGCGCAACCCUCGUUCUAUGUUGCCAGCGCGUUAUGGCGGGGACUCAUAGGAGACUGCCGGGGUCAACUCGGAGGAAGGUGGGGAUGACGUCAAAUCAUCAUGCCCCUUAUGUCUUGGGCUUCACGCAUGCUACAAUGGCCGGUACAAAGGGCUGCGAUACCGUAAGGUGGAGCGAAUCCCAAAAAGCCGGUCUCAGUUCGGAUUGAGGUCUGCAACUCGACCUCAUGAAGUCGGAGUCGCUAGUAAUCGCAGAUCAGCAACGCUGCGGUGAAUACGUUCCCGGGCCUUGUACACACCGCCCGUCAAGUCAUGAAAGUCGGUAACACCCGAAGCCGGUGGCCUAACCCUUGUGGAAGGAGC